rnacentral:rRNA from 1 species
UACGUAGGGUGCAAGCGUUGUCCGGAAUUAUUGGGCGUAAAGAGCUCGUAGGCGGUUUGUUGCGUCGGCUGUGAAAUCCCGAGGCUCAACCUCGGGUCUGCAGUCGAUACGAGCAAACUAGAGUGUUGCAGGGGAGACUGGAAUUCCUGGUGUAGCGGUGAAAUGCGCAGAUAUCAGGAGGAACACCGGUGGCGAAGGCGGGUCUCUGGGCAACAACUGACGCUGGAGGAGCGAAA